UCCCUGGUGGUCCAGCGCUUAGGACUCGGCGCUUUCACUGCUGUGACCCAGGUUCAAUCCCUGGUCUGGGAA
rnacentral:tRNA from 1 species